AGAGUUUGAUCCUGGCUCAGAUUGAACGCUGGCGGCAGGCCUAACGCAUGCAAGUCGAGCGGUAGAGAGAAGCUUGCUUCUCUUGAGAGCGGCGGACGGGUGAGUAAUGCCUAGGAAUCUGCCUGGUAGUGGGGGAUAACGUUCGGAAACGGACGCUAAUACCGCAUACGUCCUACGGGAGAAAGCAGGGGACCUUCGGGCCUUGCGCUAUCAGAUGAGCCUAGGUCGGAUUAGCUAGUUGGUGAGGUAACGGCUCACCAAGGCGACGAUCCGUAACUGGUCUGAGAGGAUGAUCAGUCACACUGGAACUGAGACACGGUCCAGACUCCUACGGGAGGCAGCAGUGGGGAAUAUUGGACAAUGGGCGAAAGCCUGAUCCAGCCAUGCCGCGUGUGUGAAGAAGGUCUUCGGAUUGUAAAGCACUUUAAGUUGGGAGGAAGGGCAGUUACCUAAUACGUGAUUGUUUUGACGUUACCGACAGAAUAAGCACCGGCUAACUCUGUGCCAGCAGCCGCGGUAA
rnacentral:rRNA from 1 species